rnacentral:misc_RNA from 1 species
UAUCCGCAGGUGAACCUGCGGAAGGAUCAUUAUUGUAUAACCGAGGUGCGAGGGCUGUCGCUGACCCGAAAGGUCGUGCACGCCCGAGUGCCCUCACACACAUCCAUCUCACCCCUAUGUGCACCACCGCGUGGGUCCCCCUUUGGCUUGUUCGGAGGGGGGCUUACGUUUUCACACAAACUUUGUAUGCAGUGUAGAAUGUAUUUUUUGUUUUUGCGAUCACGCAAUCAAUACAACUUUCAACAACGGAUCUCUUGGCUCUC